rnacentral:tRNA from 1 species
GGGCAUAGUUUAGUGGUAAAACCUCAGCCUUCCAAGCUGAUGAUCG